UACGUAGGGACCAAGCGUUGUUCGGAUUUACUGGGCGUAAAGGGCGCGUAGGCGGCGUGUUAAGUCAGCUGUGAAAUCUCCAAGCUUAACUUGGAACGGUCAGCUGAUACUGAUGUGCUAGAGUGCAGAAGGGGCAACCGGAAUUCUUGGUGUAGCGGUGAAAUGCGUAGAUAUCAAGAGGAAUACCUGAGGUGAAGACGGGUUGCUGGGCUGACACUGACGCUGAGGCGCGAAAGCUAGGGUAGCAAACGGG
rnacentral:rRNA from 1 species